rnacentral:rRNA from 1 species
UACGAAGGGGGCUAGCGUUGCUCGGAAUUACUGGGCGUAAAGGGCGCGUAGGCGGCGUCGUUAGUCAGGCGUGAAAUUCCUGGGCUCAACCUGGGGGCUGCGCUUGAUACAGCGAUGCUAGAGGUCAGAAGAGGCUCGUGGAAUUCCCAGUGUAGAGGUGAAAUUCGUAGAUAUUGGGAAGAACACCGGUGGCGAAGGCGGCGAGCUGGUCUGAUACUGACGCUGAGGCGCGACAGCGUGGGGAGCAAACAGG